rnacentral:rRNA from 1 species
CCUACGGGAGGCAGCAGUGGGGAAUAUUGGGCAAUGGACGCAAGUCUGACCCAGCAACGCCGCGUGAAGGAAGAAGGCUUUCGGGUUGUAAACCUCUUUUAAUAGGGAAGACCAGAGGACGGUACCUCUUGAAUAAGCCACGGCUAACUACGUGCCAGCAGCCGCGGUAAUACGUAGGUGGCAAGCGUUGUCCGGAAUUACUGGGUGUAAAGGGCGUGCAGCCGGGGAUGCAAGUCAGAUGUGAAAUCUGCGGGCUCAACUCGAGAACUGCAUUUGAAACUGCUGGCCUUGAGUGUAGGAGAGGUAAUCGGAAUGCCUGGUGUAGCGGUGAAAUGCGUAGAUAUUAGGAAGAACACCAGUGGCGAAGGCGGAUUACUGGACGACAACUGACGGUGAGGCGCGAAAGCGUGGGGAGCAAACAGGAUUAGAUACCCCUGUAGUC